rnacentral:misc_RNA from 1 species
GGAUGAAGAACGUAGCGAAAUGCGAUAAGUAAUGUGAAUUGCAGAAUUCAGUGAAUCAUCGAAUCUUUGAACGCACAUUGCGCCCGCCAGUAUUCUGGCGGGCAUGCCUGUCCGAGCGUCAUUUCAACCAUCAAGCCCCGGGCUUGUGUUGGGGACCUGCGUCCGACGCAGGCCCUGAAAACCAGUGGCGGGCUCGCUGUCCACACCGAGCGUAGUAACUAACCUCGCUAUGGAGUGGCGCGGGCGCCUGCCGUAAAACCCCCAAUUUCACAAGGUUGACCUCGGAUCAGGUAGGAAUACCCGCUGAACUUAAGCAUAUCAAUAAGCGGAGGA